UCGAGUGCGUUAUUUCUCUCCGUGUUCGGAGUGAGUUGUGCAAGCUGCAGAGGAAACUGUUGUCUCAUUAAACCCCGUGCGACGAAAACAGCCACUCUUCCAGCAAAAUAACUACUCUCCUCCCUUCAUAAAUCUUGAUUCCAACGAGACGGAGGCCAGAAAUUGACUCUGUCUCUCACAUCAAUGGCUUAAAACUGUUGCAUCACAGUAGUAUGUUCAAAGGGAAUCAGAACUAUCCAACAACAACUUCAGGGGCAGGGAGGCAAUUCUAACUGACAGCCAGAUGUCUGGCCUGGCUGCUUUAAUACCCAUCAAGACUGCAGAUGGUCUUGAGACCCCUGCAUCCAAACAGUGAGUCCCAGUGAAUGAUAAACAACAAUACCACAAAUCAUCAGCGCAAACCAAAAAUGCUGCUGGGACUGAUCAAGAUUUCAGAUGUCAAGAGUUGGCCACCUUCUCUCCCUUCUUCUCCCCCUCCCCCACGCCUGACCCCUCUCCCAAACAAAAAGCUUGUUAGUGGUGGAGGGCCCAGCAGGAAAUGUUUUUACACCCAGGGCCAAAUGCUAAUCCUUCACUGAAGCUUUUAAUAUAUUUAAAUGUUUAGGCGAAGGAGGCAAAAAACGGAUUCCAGUAGAAAUCACUCGACAUGUGGGAUAUGGAGAUUUCUCAAGUUGGUUAAGUCUAUAUUACAUUCAGUGGACUUCCUCUUCAAUUUAGGAUUACUUUAAAGGAGCACACUCUAAUUCAAAGAGAAAGGGAAUUGGCUUGAAUUACCCUUUAAGCAACUACCAGCAUGAAACUUUUCGUUCCUUAAAUGCGUGUUUCUGGGACAAAGCACGAAUAAGUUCUAUACCUAUCCAGGUGCACGUAUUUCUUCAUUUCUUCAUUUUCACUGGCUGCACAUUGUGUUGUCUUGAAAUACUUCUUUGGGCAUAACUAGACUUGACAUGUACUUGCGAUUCAUAAACUAUUACAAAUAUCAAACCACGCUCCUCCAAAUACGGCUAAAGGAUUCUGGGGAAAACUCGGUAACAUUGUCUUGGUUUGUAAAGUGGUUUGAAUUUUUCACGAUGGCAUCAAAUAUUUGCGAAACUGAACGAACUAGGUUCUUCCAGUAAGCAGUGGUGGAUUUUUCAGUGCCGUUUUCACUCGUGUCUCUUAAAGUAACUGCACAUAUGCCUUCUCGAGCAAAUUCCUUUCUAUGAAGUCUUCACAAAGGUGUUUCGAGUUCCCAUUUCAGAUACGUCUCCCUUUUGUGACCUUCUCCCCAAGGGCUGCGGUGCACACUCCUGUAGUUAUCUGUCCCAAACCCAUUUUGAAACUCGGCUUUCUCAAUAAAAAUGUCAAAACCAGCGGCCUUUCAGAGUAGCUGCUAUGAACACGAGCCCUUUCUUCACAGCCGGCCUGACCGUGUCUUCAGUCUCCAUCAGAGACCUGCUGCGUGUGGACACGCAUAGCAGUUUUCCCAACAGAGACGCAUCGAAUGCCCUUUUCCGGAAACAACACUUCCAGAAAUGUGCUGACCAAGAAGAAACAGCAGGGGGAUAGGAGCCUUGGGCUGAGCUCAUUCAAAGAAAUGUAGAGCCAGGUUCCCAAGAGAGAUGGCUCAAGACAAUCCCCGUGGCAGUGAUUGGCUUCAGCAUGGGCUUGGAAAUAGACGCUUCCAUGGCCAUCUGCGUUUCAGACGAAGGAGCUACUAGUGUGAAAUGAAGUUUAAAGGAUCUUAGAACCCGUUCAAGAUUGCUAUUGGCACUAGCGUUCUUAAUAGGAUCUGAAGACGCGCUUCUGGUAAUAGAGGAAAACACAGGCCUAACACUCAGAAAAAAGAUUUCCCCCUUCAAAAUAUAACUAAAAGACUAAAAGCUGGCUUUUCCCUGGAAUGCUACCAUAAACUCCAAGCUCCCACCACUCAUGGGCCAGCACCUUCAUAGUCCUGCAUUCAUUCAGCCCUUGACUGAGCACAGACUGCCUGCCAAGCACUGAUCCAGGCCCUGGGGGUGCUUCUGCGAGCCAGCGAGACAAGUCUGCUGUCCUCAAGGACCUCCGAGAGGGCCCUCUGCAGUCUACCUGGUGCUCUCUUGCCGGAAUCGUCCCUCCCUGGACAAGUCCUCCCAGCGUCCAGUUCCCUCUCCUCUAUGAAGCCUUUCUGAAUUCCUAUUAACUCAUGAUCUUGUCCUUCUUUUUUCGCUACGGCACCUGAAGGCUGUUUCAUACAAUUCGAUGUGUGUCAUUUUAUUUCAUAAAAUCCCCACAGAUUGAAAGCACCGUGCAGGAAUCUAUUUUUCCACAUCCUCACAACCCCGAGGAGACGCACGAAAUGCCUGUUGAUUUCAGAAGAGUACACCAGAAAGGCGGGGCAUGUGGGAGAAACUUUCUGAGGGAACAGAACCCCCCAUGGCCACUCUGUGUCACAUGCACGAUGGGCUGGUUGGCUCCUUGGGAAGGGCAGCACCCGCGAGGACAGACUGAUUCAUGGCUUGUCCAAAGCCAACCACAGGGGAAGCCACGCUCAAGGACAUGUUCCUGCCGCCAGCGAAAGACGAGUGUCUCCUAGCAACCAGAUUCCAGUGGCUUCCUGGCCUCCAGAGUUUGCCCCUGCUCACUGCUUUGUUGCCUCUGGGUUUGCAUUUUGGCAUUUGCUGACCAUGGCAUUCAUUCUUGAUUCCAAAACUUGAGAAAGAAUGUCUGAUCCGCAAGCUAGCUGACUGGACUAGCUCUGAGAACCAUUUCAUUCAUGACAUCCUUUCCGUAAUGCUAGAACUUUCAAGGAACAGAAUGUUUGCUCUUAGCUUAAAAAGGGUGAAUACAUUUUCCCCCAAGAUUGUUAUUUAUAUCAGAGCAGCUGGUUUGAAAGAUACAUAAAAAGGGAAGAGCAUACAUUCUUUCCAUCAAAUAAUCAAAAAGUACUCAGACAUUUUCAAAAAAGAUACACUGUCAUUCAAAACCUGUUUCAGCAAUAAACUUUAACUUGGCAAAUUCACAGAUGCAGAAGGAAAGGCAAGUCGAAUUUGAAGAAAAUGACUCAAGGUCCUUAAAAGUUUGGAUGGCUAAUAAAAUUAUGUCUGCUGCAAUA